AAUUGAUUAGAAAAGCUUAUAUUCUGAUGUUUUUCUCUUUUAGUAAUUCUUCACCAUAGAGAUCAUCAACUAUGAAGUAAACAGAUAUAUCCAAAUUCAUAAUCUCCAGGACUGAAUUUCAUAAGACUCAGAUGUGGAACACUUAUGUUUGUUUGUGAAGAAUCCAGUGGACACUUGUGAGAAUGACCUCUAGCAGAGAUUUUUAGAACCUCACACGAUAGCCUGGUUUUUGGAUGUGAUCAAGGUUUUCCUAAGGGCAAACAGUAGGCAGAAGUAAUAAAAUCAGAUGUUACAGAGAAAGACAUCACACAGUAUUUCCCACAUACUCUCAUAGGAGUUAUACAACUCUUGAAAGCUUCAAUCAAGCCCUGAAAGCUGCAAUCAACACAACCACCGAAACAGUACUCUUGGCACACAAGUCUCCCAAUGACUUCAGGGGCAGUUCCACAACUGCAAGAUCUGCAGAAUUCCAUCAGCAGAACUCAUCUCACAAAGUAUUAAAAAAAAAAAAAACCACCUAAUUUAUACAUGCUAGAGAUAAAUAUAGCACUCACACUACAGAUAAUCUUCAC
rnacentral:lncRNA from 1 species